UACGUAGGGGGCUAGCGUUGUCCGGAAUCAUUGGGCGUAAAGCGCGUGUAGGCGGUUCGGUAAGUCCGCUGUGAAAGUCGGGGGCUCAACCCUCGGAUGCCGGUGGAUACUGUCGGGCUAGAGUGCGGAAGAGGCGAGUGGAAUUCCUGGUGUAGCGGUGAAAUGACGCAGAUAUCAGGAGGAACACCGAUGGCGAAGGCGGUUCUCUGGGCAUUACCUGACGCUGAGGAGCGAAAGUGUGGGGAGCGAACAGG
rnacentral:rRNA from 1 species